GGAAUUUUGCGCAAUGGGCGAAGGCCCGACGCAGCAACGCCGCGUGAGGGAUGAAGGCCUUCGGGUUGUAAACCUCUUUUCUGAGGGAAGAUGAUGACGGUACCUCAGGAAUAAGCAACGGCUAAUUACGUGCCAGCAGCCGCGGUAAUACGUAGGUGGCAAGCGUUGUCCGGAUUUACUGGGCGUAAAGAGCGCGCAGGCGGUCGUUCAAGUCGCGUGUGAAAGCCCCCGGCUCAACUGGGGAGGGUCACGCGAUACUGAUCGACUCGAAGGCAGGAGAGGGUAGUGGAAUUCCCGGUGUAGUGGUGAAAUGCGUAGAUAUCUGGAGGAACACCGGUGGCGAAGGCGGCAUCCUGGACCGACAUUGACGCUGAGGCGCGAAAGCCAGGGGAGCAAAC
rnacentral:rRNA from 1 species